UGGUGGAGGCAUGUGGUUUAAUUCGAUGCAACGCGAAGAACCUUACCUACUCUUGACAUCCACAGAAUUCGNCAGAGAUACCUUAGUGCCUUCGGGAACUGUGAGACAGGUGCUGCAUGGCUGUCGUCAGCUCGUGUUGUGAAAUGUUGGGUUAAGUCCCGCAACGAGCGCAACCCUUAUCCUUUGUUGCCAGCGCGUCAUGGNGGGAACUCAAAGGAGACUGCCGGUGAUAAACCGGAGGAAGGUGGGGAUGACGUCAAGUCAUCAUGGCCCUUACGAGUAGGGCUACACACGUGCUACAAUGGCGUAUACAAAGAGAAGCGAACUCGCGAGAGCCAGCGGACCUCAUAAAGUACGUCGUAGUCCGGAUCGGAGUCUGCAACUCGACUCCGNGAAGUNGNAUCG
rnacentral:rRNA from 1 species